GACGAACGCUGGCGGCGUGCUUAACACAUGCAAGUCGAACGGAAAGGCCCUGCUGUUGUGGGGUGCUCGAGUGGCGAACGGGUGAGUAACACGUGAGUAACCUGCCCUUGACUUUGGGAUAACUUCAUGAAACUGGGGCUAAUACCGGAUAGGAGCUCCUGCUGCAUGGUGUGGGUUGGAAAGUUUCGGCGGUUGUGGAUGGACUCGCGGCUUAUCAGCUUGUUGGUGGGGUAGUGGCUUACCAAGGCUUUGACGCGUAGCCGGCCUGAGAGGGUGACCGGCCACAUUGGGACUGAGAUACGGCCCAGACUCCUACGGGCGGCAGCAGUGGGGCAUAUUGCACAAUGGGCGGAAGCCUGAUGGAGGAGCGCCGCGUGCGGGAUGACGGCCUUCGGGUUGUAGACCGCUUUCGCCUGUGACGAAGCGUGUGUGGAGGUAAUGGGUAAAGAAGCACCGCCUCACUACGUG
rnacentral:rRNA from 1 species